rnacentral:rRNA from 1 species
GACGUAGGGCGCGAGCGUUGUCCGGAUUUAUUGGGCGUAAAGAGCUCGUAGGCGGCUUGUCGCGUCGGCUGUGAAAUCCCGUGGCUCAACUGCGGGUCUGCAGCCGAUACGGGCAGGCUAGAGUUCGGUAGGGGAGACUGGAAUUCCUGGUGUAGCGGUGAAAUGCGCAGAUAUCAGGAGGAACACCGGUGGCGAAGGCGGGUCUCUGGGCCGAUACUGACGCUGAGGAGCGAAAGCGUGGGGAGCAAACAGG